GGUGGUAACGCAAGAGCAGGGGGAAUGAGAGGGGGACACACCAGAGCAGGGGGAAUGAGAGGGGGAAACGCAAGAGCAGGGGGAAUGAGAGGGGGAAAUGCCAGAGCAGGGGGAAUGAGAGAUGGUAACGCAAGAGCAAGGGGAAUGAGAGGUGGAAACGCAAGAGCAUGGGGAAUGAGAG